rnacentral:lncRNA from 1 species
UCUGACAAGUCGCUCUUAGCAUCUCAGUUACUUGGCGUUCAUUCAAUUUUUUGGUAUAUCUCUGCCCAGCAACAAUCUUACAAACCUACAACAACAAUAGCAAUUGGUAAGGAAAAGCCUAAUCAAUACUAUCUUCAAAUAAUCAUUGAAUCAAGGAUACUUUAAAUCACGAAUAAUCAUAUCAAACAUACAUACCUCCAUAGGCAAAUAAACCGGCUUGGCAUCAUUACCAGCUUGUAUAGCUGGUAGAAAUGGAUAUUUGAGUGCCACGCCAUAUUUUUCAUGAAAGUACUGUGCAACAGAGAUUCGGGUUUUCUGAUCAUCCAGAGUAAACCUUAAAAUAAACCAAGAAUAGCAAUAAAUUUAAAAAGUCAAAACAAAUUGUCAUUCAUGCCUUGCUAGCCACUACCAAACUCAAUUUUAAUAAUUAAGAAAACAAAAACCUUCAAAGCUAAUUUCAGAUUCUUCUAAAUACAAAAGCAUGACAUGUAAGAGCAAGAUAAGAGAAACAAGGCUGGAACCAAAGCCACUUACAACAUAGACAAGAACAAUAAACACCAAAAUGACUAGUUGAUACUGCUUCUGAUUCCAAAAAAAAUCCCUAAAAAAUCAAGAAACUACCACAACAAAAGAUCCAAAGAAACAAACUAAAAAUACAACAAAAAUCAAUGUUCAACAAAAUUACCCAAAAGUCAAAACGUUCUGGUUAGGCACAAUUUUGAAAAACAAUUGACCAACUGCAAUUAUGGUUCAAACCAAUCUUUGUGUUUGCAAAGGAGGAGUUUAAACAAUGUUCUGCAUUAGAUACUAAAUUUUAUUAAUCAUCCUGAAGCAUAAACAAUCAUUCUUUCAAUAUUUCUAAACAAAAAAACAUAGUGACCACAUACAAAUCUGCAGUACCCCAAGAAAAAUAAAUUACUGUUCCUCCCUUGUUCAGAUGACAGUUCUUUUCUAACAAUAUGUAAGAGGUAAUAUCUACUUCAUGCAUAUACUUAAAAAAGGUCUUAAAUCUAAAAGAAAUUCCACCCUUAUAAACUUCAAAUGCAUUUCUGAAGCUAGCUCCAAAGGAAUUUAGAGAAGCAGAAAAAUAAACUCACAUUAAUCUAUUAACAGGCUCUGAUGAUAUCCCAGUAAUCUUGUAGGUCCUGGCAUGCUCCCUACACGUUAAUCCAACCUUCACUCCUCUAAGUACCUUUUUGAUCUGAUAUUAAGCAAAAAAAAAAUAGUUGUUACAUAUACGUAAAACAUAAAUACUACAAUUCUCAGGAUAAAAAAUUUCUGCACUUCAAAACCCAUAAACAUGACAUGUGCAUAUAUUAAUGACAGUUUGAAUAACCUUGCGACAAUCCUGAUCAGACAUUGGCUUUGAGAGAUUCCUUAGGUUGAAGUGUUUAACAACAUAUUCUGUCACACUGAUUGGUUCAUAAAAUGAUCUAGCUGACACAUCUGCAAUACAGACCCAUAAAUGUUAAAAAGAACAGCAAUUCAGAAUCGAUGAAUAAUUCAAAAGUGGUACCUAUAUUUAAAGAUAAACCCAUUUGUACAGGUCGUAGACUUUGGUAAUAUCCCCUCCAAUACUCAACACCAUUACCAAGUUCACCUGGCUGCCCCAGUUCAUGCGAGAAAAAUGACCUUCCAACAACUGUGUAACUGGAAUAAAAAAUGGUUAUCAUUUCCACCCAUGAACUAAUACUAUAUACAGUACUAAAGAGUUUCAAAUAAACUAACUCGACAGAUGGUUUUGUUCUCAAAACAACAUCAAGAACUUGUAUAGUCUCCUGUGGUGCAUCUCGCUGCUGUCUAUGUAUAAACUGUUGUAGAUGAUGGAGGUCUGGUUUGGAGGCAAAUUUGAUAGAUACUUUGAACUCUCGUUCUUUCCUGUAGAAUGAAUCACAGAUAAACUAAACGUUGAUAGUUCAAACAUAGGCAGAUACAUGAGUGGUAGGGAUAUACCUUGUUGGUUGAGAAGACCCAGCACCAUCUUUACGGACUAAUUUAAUCAUGAACUCUUUGGACGAAAAUGGAAGUUGACCAGCAGCAUAAACACUUUUUCCUCCAUCAUAUGCUAGAUAUCUUCCACCUAAAUGAGAUUCUCUAUACGUAUUUGCAAGCUGGUUUACUAUAUCUCGGCAGACCUUUUUGGAUGUAACCUCAGGUGUGAUUGAAACCUAAAAUCACAAAUAAAACUACAUUUACUGCUCUAUCAUUCGCAAAAAUACAAGAAUACUCCCAUAGCAUAGACAAACAAAUGACUACCAAAGAAUUUCAGAUUUUACCCAGAAGAUCAAAUGCGGAUUACAAAAGUCAUUCACAGAACAGGUUAUAUCGAAACUAAUUUAACAGUUCAUUCAGACGAAAAUGGAAAAUGAAUAGCAACAUAAACAUUCUUUACACUGUCUGAUGCUAAAACCGUUCCAACUACACGAGAUUCUGCAUACAUUUCUGUAAACUCGUAACAUCAGGUGUCAUAGAAUUCUAACACCACAAAUAAAAUCAAACAUAUAAAAUGCUCUGGACACUAAAUUACUAAGGGCACUCCCAAACCAGUGCCUAAUGUUAUCUACAAUUUCAAGAUGAUAUUUCAAAAUAUCAAAUGAGAUACCAAAAAUUGUACAGAAAAAAGUUUCGUCCGUAUGUUAAAUGCAUACAAUACAUCAAAAGCACGCCAAGGAUGUAGCCAUUAAGAGCAAAAGAAGAAGAAAAACUACGAGCCAACCGUAAUAGUGAAGUAGAUGAUCCAUAAGAUUAAAAGAAACUGACCUAUAGAAGUAUCCAGCACCAGAUAUAGAAGAGAAAAUGUUGUACAAAGGAAAACACGCUUACAUCGUAAUGGUGGAGAUCUUUGUCUGCAACUUGAACCAGGAAAUGAUUGGCACGAACAACAACUUUUCGACCAGCGGUUCCAUAUCCCGGCCUCUUCGCCACAGUCAAGUCUUUCGAUGAAGACGGCGGAACGUUCUGCGGCGUCAGUGUCACCUUCUCCACUUGUGCUUCGAUCUGAGAAACCUCAGGCUGUAAGAGCGUAGCAGUUCCCGAUGAGGAAGCAGAAGAUGCUCCCGUUGACGUCUGGGGAGGAGGAGCGGAAGCAACCGGAGUAGGCCGAGGAGGAGGAGAAACAAUCGGAGUAGGCUGAUGAGUCGGAGAAUGGAAUUGCUGAGUGGCUGGAUAACCUACCCUGCCUCCAUCUCUCCCUCCACCCCCUCGUCCGCCUCGUCCACCUCUUCCACCGCGAGAUAUAGCCGGAGAGGGCUGUCCACCACGACCACCCGAACCACGACCACCACCGCCGCCACUACCGCCCCCGCCUCGGCGAGACAUUUUGCUUGAAAUUUUCGACGAAGGAAAUGGAAGAAAUGAGAGGUAUGUUGAAAGCGAGUGGGUUUACAGUGGGUACGUGUGUGUUUAUAUAGAAACAG